GAAGGUAUAGCUCAGUGGUAGAGUACAUGCUUAGCAUGCUCGAGGUCCCGGGUUCAAGACCCACUACCUUCA
rnacentral:tRNA from 1 species